rnacentral:lncRNA from 1 species
AUGCAGGCAGAGCCAAGUGCUGGGCACGGCACUGCAGGGAGUUCUGGCAUUUCAGGGGAAUUGUGGGGUGCUGAGCCUGGAUUCUCUACCACCACCACAGCACAGUCCAACCCACUGGCUGGCUACAAAACUAAGGAGGUGCCAUGGGAGAAAUGGGUUAUUUUUGGAGUCCUACCUGGGAAAAAGCUCCAGCUCGUGUUAGACAAUGAUGAAUACACAGAGGGAAACUCCCAAAACCCACUGCUGUGGGAAUUUCCCCCAGGGGCAUCCCAGUCCCAAUGGGAACUGGUGGCAAGGUCAAAGCAGGGGGGUUCCUGUACCCCUUGCUGGGCUGGGAUUCUCCCAGCCUGGGACACGCUGGUCCCACUGGUGCCUCCAAAACGUGGUGGCUGCUUGUGGCUGCCCAGGACACCCAGGGAUGGGAGGCUCCCACACCUGCCAUCCCAACCUGCCCUCACACCUGUGUCCUUGCUAGGUCAGCACCCAGGACCCCCCUGCGCCCUCCUAGGAGGACAGGUCACAACCUGGCUCUGGCACCGCAUGUCCCAGCCCUGCCAGGGGACAAGCCACUGUCACCUACAGUCCAGCUUCAGCUGGGAAUGGCUCUGGAGCUGCCUCCUUGGGUGUCAGUGGGAGGAAAUCAUCAUCAGCAUCCCCACAGUUCCAUCAGUGGACAAAUGGAUCCAAUGCCAGGGCACCACACGGGCCCAGCUGGAGGGAACAGGGCCAGUGCUGUCCCCAAAGUCAUUGCUGUCCCUCUGGCACUCACCUGCUAGUCCCAGCCACACUCUUGUCUGGGGUCCAGAGUUUCUGGGAUCCUGGGGGGACUCCUAUUGGCUGCACCUGCUGGACUGGGGGGUGGGUGCCAGGGGCUCCUGGAUGCAUUCCCGAGGCAGUGAAACCACUAUCCAAACCUUUUUUCUGAACGUCAGGAGGAGCCUGAGCAAGCAGAGCAGUGUUUCAGCCCCAGCUCUUGCCCCCAAAACUCCACCCCUUUCCCUCAAGCCACUAUGA